AUGAAAAAUGAUACAUAAAACAAAACCAGCAAUUUAUUGACUCAUGAUGUGUGGUGUUUAGAAAAAAAUCAACAAUUUUGGCUGCACACAUUAAUUUUAUAAUGGAGUUAAUAGGAAUGCACCCUGUUCGCUGCUAUCCCUCCCAAUUACCACUGACCCAACUCUAGUUGGGACACCCAAACUCGAACACUCAAGCUGGGACUAGCGAUUGCCAAGUUCGGAUGGGGCGGAAAUUGCGCAUGUGUGCACUGUAUAAUCUUCGUAAACAUGUCGUCUGCUCAAGAUGGAUUUAAAAUCAGAAUGUUUUCAUCAUAAAAGAUCGGAAUCCUUGAAGUAACCUCGCUGUGUAUCGUACAUCAUUUCAUCAGACACGGUUUAAGUCAUCACCAACCAUCAGCACAUCACAAGGAACCCUCAGCAGAUGAAUGUUUUAAUUACACUCUCCACCUCUUGAAAUUACCACAAAUACUGGUUCAUUAAGAUGAUGAGGAGCAGCAGUUUCCUCACAAGAGAUGCACCAGGGCUUUGAUGAGAACACUUAGAUUGCAACUUCAUCAUGACUUCAAACACUUCAUCAUCUCUACUACAAGCUUCUCGUACUUCAACUCUGUGAAUUAUUCAAUACUAGGAUAUUAAGGUAGGCUUUUUGUUUUGUGUAUGAAUUGUAAAAAGGUCUGUUUACAAAUAAACACUAUGACAGUGCAGCACUGUGACUUCACCAUCAAUGUACUUAAAGGGCCUUGUCACACAAGUCAAUUUUGAGUCAACUACUCCAGUGCACACAAACAAAAAAACACUUUGAUAUCAAAGUACUUUUUCAAUCAUGGCCUCACUAUACAUUUACCUCUAAUGAGUGUCUGUGAAAAUUCAGAUGGCAAUGUUGUUUUCUUAGUGGGCAUUGCCUGAAAGUGGUUGCCUAUAAAUUGCAUCAUGGGACAUGGACCUUUUGCAUUUAUUGCAGUCCAGUCCCCCAACCGGUGAGGCAGUAGCGGGGUAUGGCUAUUGGCUUGGUCAAUUUGCCUCUGAAAUCUUUUUACAAUCCAAAUAAAUUGUUAAAAAAAUGAGAUGAAGCACAAUUGAUGAAGUCGUACAUUUUGUAAACAGACCUUUACUAAUAUACAGUCCAUUUAUUGUGACUGUUGAUGUAAGGUUCUAUCGAUUGGUACUGGCGGGAGAAUAAUAAUCUUUAAAGGUACUUAAAGACACUGGACACUAGUGGUAAUUGUCAAAGACCAGUCUCAC